rfam:Sphingobacterium faecium PCAi_F2.5 genome assembly, contig: Scaffold46
AAAGAGAGAUAUGCUACUACAUACCUCUCCUUUAUACCAACACCAGUUAUAAGAACUGGUGGCUUACUGAGUUAAGUUUUUGUUGUUCUUUAACCGUUCAGCCGUCUAAGCUUA